UAUACGACUCUCGGCAACGGAUAUCUCGGCUCUCGCAUCGAUGAAGAACGUAGCGAAAUGCGAUACUUGGUGUGAAUUGCAGAAUCCCGUGAACCAUCGAGUCUGUGAACGCAAGUUGCGCCCGAGGCCUUUCGGUUGAGGGCACGCCUGCCUGGGCGUCACGC
rnacentral:rRNA from 1 species